rnacentral:rRNA from 1 species
GACGAACGCUGGCGGCGUGCCUAAUACAUGCAAGUCGAGCGAAGUUUUUCUGGUGCUUGCACUAGAAAAACUUAGCGGCGAACGGGUGAGUAACACGUAAAGAACCUGCCCCAUAGACUGGGACAACUAUUGGAAACGAUAGCUAAUACCGGAUAACAGUAUUUCUCGCAUGAGAGAUAUUUAAAAGUUGGUUAUGCUAACACUAUGAGAUGGCUUUGCGGUGCAUUAGCUAGUUGGUGGGGUAAAGGCCCACCAAGGCGACGAUGCAUAGCCGACCUGAGAGGGUGAUCGGCCACACUGGGACUGAGACACGGCCCAGACUCCUACGGGAGGCAGCAGUAGGGAAUCUUCCGCAAUGGGCAAAAGCCUGACGGAGCAACGCCGCGUGAGUGAAGAAGGAUUUCGGUUCGUAAAGCUCUGUUGUUAGGGAAGAAUGGAUAUGUAGUAACUAUACAUGUAAGAGACGGUACCUAACCAGAAAGCCACGGCUAACUACGUG